UUAACGCUUGGUGUCUCUCAGCUCCGUGUCAGUCGGUGCAGAAGCAGCAAGAUGCUGUGGCAGACUCAGCUCCUCUGGCUCCUCAUGCUCUGGGCACAGGGCUCCAGUGGGGACAAUCCUGUGACUCAGAUGCCAGAAUCUGUGGCAGUGGCUCUAGGAGACACUGUCACCAUCAAGUGCAGAGUCAGCUCCAGCAUCAGCAGCAACAUGGACCUAUUCCACCAGAAACCAGGGCAACCUCCUAGGAUCCUUCUCUACAAAACAAACAGCCGCCCCUCCGGGAUCCCCGACCGGUUCAGUGGCAGUGGGUCUGGCACCGACUUCACCUUUACCAUCAGCCGGGUGGAAGCUGAAGAUGCUGGAGAUUAUUACUGUCAGCAGAAUAAUGACGCCCAUCUCACAGUGCUACAGCCCCGCUCCAGCGGGAACAUUAUUGUGACUCAGACUCCAGAGUCCCUGGCCGUGCCCUCAGAAGACACAGUCACCAUCAAGUGCAAAACCAGUCCCAGUGUUAGCAAAUACAUGAACUUUUACCAGCAGAAACCAGGCCAGGCCCCUAAACUCCUCAUCUACAACACCAACAACCAUCUUUCUGGGGUCCCCGACCAGUUCAGUGGCAGUGGGUCCAGCAUGGACUUCACUUUACUAUGA